rnacentral:lncRNA from 1 species
GGACCUCUGAUCAAGAACAUGAAUGCAAUCUUCGGCCGUCGUUUGAACGGAAAUUCCUUAAUUCUUGGAAUCAUUGAGGCUCUCCACAGCAAUUCUUGAUCAUUCAUGUUAUGCAUAAUGACACUAAGUUGCUUACUUGAUGGUGAUUGUGAAGUGAAGAUAGAGAAUUGGCUAUUUGUGACUAGUACAUUGAAAGAGAAGCUUUUGUAAUGGAAACAAACAAGUAUCCCAAAAGUUAACCCGAAUACGAAGAAGAAUAAGCAAGAAAGGAGCUUAACAAGUGAAAUAUUCAUGGCCUUCCCACCUGAAGAAAAUGGAUUUUGGCUCUGGUUUUGGUUCUUGAUUUUGUCACACAUGAUAACAAUCUGUUGUUACUUUGUGAUAGAGGAAUAUUCUGAUAUCAAGCGAAGAAGCAAUGAAAAUUCCAAGGAAAUAACAAAAGUGAUUUUGAAGAUACAUUUGAGAACUAACAUUGAUAGAGAGAAGUGAGA